rnacentral:rRNA from 1 species
GAUGAACGCUAGCGGCGUGCCUAACACAUGCAAGUCGAACGUGAGAGGGUACUUGUAUCCUUGAAAGUGGCGGACGGGUGAGUAAGACGUAGGUGACCUGCCUCGAAGUGGGGGAUAACCAUUGGAAACGAUGGCUAAUACCGCAUAAGCUGGUGACGAUGGGAAUGGUUAUCAGGAAAGCUUUAGUGCUUUGAGAGGGGCCUACGGCCGAUUAGCUAGUUGGUGAGGUAAAGGCUCACCAAGGCGAUGAUCGGUAGCUGGUCUGAGAGGACGAUCAGCCACACGGGAACUGAGACACGGCCCAGACUCCUACGGGAGGCAGCAGUGGGGAAUAUUGCACAAUGGGGGAAACCCUGAUGCAGCAACGCCGCGUGGAGGAAGAAGGUUUUCGGAUUGUAAACUCCUGUCUUUUGGGACGAUAAUGACGGUACCAAAAGAGGAAGCCACGGCUAACUACGUG